rnacentral:rRNA from 1 species
CUUAACAGUCACCCUCUCUUCCUGGAAUCCUAGAAAAUCCUGGAAGCUGAAGAAGACUGGGCCUGGUUAGUACUUGGAUGGGAGACCACUGGGAAAUACCUGGUGCUGUAGUGG